GACGAACGCUGGCGGCGUGCUUAACACAUGCAAGUCGAACGGAAAGGCCCUGCUUUUGUGGGGUGCUCGAGUGGCGAACGGGUGAGUAACACGUGAGUAACCUGCUCUUGACUUUGGGAUAACUUCAGGAAACUGGAGCUAAUACCGUAUAGGAUCUCCUGUUGCAUUGUGGGGAGGGGAACGUUUCGGCGGUUGGGGAUGGACGCGCGGCUGAUCGGCUUGUUGGUGGGGUAGUGGCUUACCAAGGGAUUGAAGGGUAGCCGGCCUGUGAGGGUGAACGGCCACAUUGGGACUGAGAUAGGGCGCAGAGUGGUACGGGAGGCAGUAGUGGGGAGUAUUGCACAAUGGGCGGGAGCGUGAGGCGGAAACGCCGCGUGCGGGAUGACGGUCUUCGGGUUGUAAACAGCAUUAGCCUGUGACGAAGCGGGAGUGACGGUAAUGGGUAAAGAAGCACCGGCUAACUACGUG
rnacentral:rRNA from 1 species